rnacentral:rRNA from 1 species
CAGUCGAGCGCCCCGCAAGGGGAGCGGCAGACGGGUGAGUAACGCGUGGGAAUCUACCCUUUUCUACGGAAUAACGCAGGGAAACUUGUGCUAAUACCGUAUAAGCCCUUCGGGGGAAAGAUUUAUCGGGAAAGGAUGAGCCCGCGUUGGAUUAGCUAGUUGGUGGGGUAAAGGCCUACCAAGGCGACGAUCCAUAGCUGGUCUGAGAGGAUGAUCAGCCACAUUGGGACUGAGACACGGCCCAAACUCCUACGGGAGGCAGCAGUGGGGAAUAUUGGACAAUGGGCGCAAGCCUGAUCCAGCCAUGCCGCGUGAGUGAUGAAGGCCCUAGGGUUGUAAAGCUCUUUCACCGGAGAAGAUAAUGACGGUAUCCGGAGAAGAAGCCCCGGCUAACUUCGUGCCAGCAGCCGCG